ACAAUCACAUAAGAAUUAAAAGAGAGGAAAGAAUUGUACCUCGAUGCCGCUUUCAAGUAUUAUUCAAUCAAACGAGAUGAAGUCCGCACCGGAACCUCAAAUCGAACCUCAACACGAAUUCCAAAUCAAGCUUCGGUUUUACGAAAAAAAAUAUCCGAGCAUCCCGAAACCAGUAAAUUACUAGAUAGUUCAACAAGAGAAGAAUCCCGAAGAAACUUUCAUGCGAUAAUUUCGACGAGAAUUUGCCGGAGACGUCGAAAACAGCCGAUUAAGCACCGAAUUUUAGCGUUUUCAGCAAGGCUUAAGAUUUUUCCAGUGGAAAUCGCUUUAAAAUUGAACAAAAAUGGAUCUCUCGCCGAUUUUGUGUCCCUUUCCCUCAUCUCACUGUUUCUUCUCUCUCUCCCUUCAAUUCUCUCUCUCUCGUCUCUCUGUCUGUUUGGUUCCCUCUCUAUCCCCAAUUGUGUGUUAUGGAGAAAUAAAGGUUGUGGGUGUGUUCGUUAGCCGUGGAAAAGAGAAGAAAGAAAAAAAAAUCCCGUCUCUCGAGGUUUGUGCUCCUC
rnacentral:lncRNA from 1 species